rnacentral:piRNA from 1 species
UAAAAGGCACGAUGGCAGCUCACA